GUCCACGCCCUAAACGAUGUCGACUAGCUAUUGGGAGCAUCGACCCUUCCAGUGGCAAAGCUAACGCGUUAAGUCGACCGCCUGGGAAGUACGAUCGCAAGAUUAAAACUCAAAGAAAUAGGCGGGAACUCGCACAAGCAGUGGAUCAUGUGGUUCAAUUCGACUCUAACCGAGAAACCUCACCAGGGCUUGAAAUCCAAUGGAAAUCCUUAGGAAACUUUGGACCCCGAAGGCCGUUGGACAGUGCCGCACGGCUGUCGU
rnacentral:rRNA from 1 species